rnacentral:rRNA from 1 species
UCAGUAACACGUAGUCAACAUGCCCAGGGGACGUGGAUAACCUCGGGAAACUGAGGAUAAACCGCGAUAGGUCACUACUUCUGGAAUGGGUAAUGACUAAAACCUAUAUGGCCCCUGGAUUGGACUGCGGCCGAUCAGGCUGUUGGUGAGGUAAUGGCCCACCAAACCUGUAACCGGUACGGGCUCUGAGAGGAGGAGCCCGGAGAUGGGCACUGAGACAAGGGCCCAGGCCCUAUGGGGCGCAGCAGGCGCGAAACCUCUGCAAUAGGCGAAAGCUUGACAGGGUUACUCUGAGUGAUUUCCGUUAAGGAGAUCUUUUGGCACCUCUAAAAAUGGUGCAGAAUAAGGGGUGGGCAAGUCUGGUGCCAGCC